rnacentral:rRNA from 1 species
CCCUUAGAGUUUGAUCCUGGCUCAGAUUGAACGCUGGCGGAAUGCUUUACACAUGCAAGUCGAACGGCAGCACGGGGGCAACCCUGGUGGCGAGUGGCGAACGGGUGAGUAAUACAUCGGAACGUGCCCAGUCGUGGGGGAUAACUACGCGAAAGCGUAGCUAAUACCGCAUACGAACUCUGGUUGAAAGCGGGGGAUCGCAAGACCUCGCGCGAUUGGAGCGGCCGAUGGCAGAUUAGGUAGUUGGUGGGGUAAAGGCUCACCAAGCCGACGAUCUGUAGCUGGUCUGAGAGGACGACCAGCCACACUGGGACUGAGACACGGCCCAGACUCCUACGGGAGGCAGCAGUGGGGAAUUUUGGACAAUGGGCGCAAGCCUGAUCCAGCCAUUCCGCGUGCAGGAUGAAGGCCCUCGGGUUGUAAACUGCUUUUGGACGGAACGAAAAGCCGCUUUCUAAUACAGAGCGGUCAUGACGGUACCGUCAGAAUAAGCACCGGCUAACUACGUGCCAGCAGCCGCGGUAAUACGUAGGGUGCAAGCGUUAAUUGGAAUUACUGGGCGUAAAGCGUGCGCAGGCGGUUAUGUAAGACAGGUGUGAAAUCCCCGGGCUUAACCUGGGAACUGCAUUUGUGACUGCAUAGCUAGAGUACGGUAGAGGGGGAUGGAAUUCCGCGUGUAGCAGUGAAAUGCGUAGAUAUGCGGAGGAACACCGAUGGCGAAGGCAAUCCCCUGGACCUGUACUGACGCUCAUGCACGAAAGCGUGGGGAGCAAACAGAUUAGAUACCCUGGUAGUCCACGCCCUAACGA